UUAGCUCUUGGUAGAGCGCUCCACUGGAAAUGGAAAGGUCCGGGUUCAAUACCCGGA
rnacentral:tRNA from 1 species